CUCAGCGAAACUCAUAGAAGAUUCUACUAGUACUAUUGGUAGUAAAUAGUUUGGCUCAGAUCCAAGAUCAUUCCCAGGCCAAUUCUAACCAAUGUUACCAGUUUAUUGAUUUGACUCAAAUUUACAACCUCCGCGGAUCUGCAUCAGAAGAUUAUCCACGAGCUGGCAUAGCACAAGAAUAUGGACGUCGAACAGAAUUACAAGAGUUUCUGCAGAACAUAAUAGGAACGGUAGCCGCGAAGAAUGAUGCUCCAGAUAUUAACAAAGUUCCAUUUCCGGCGGUCCAAGUACCAGCUCAUCGAGUAAAUCUCCCACCAAACCAGUCUUCCCGUCCUACAAUAAGUUUUGGUCCAAAAUAUAUCCCUACAGCAUAUGCAGGAGCUGCAUAUCAACCAAAAAAUCCUUAUCAGCGUAGAAUCAAUCCUUAUCAACAAAUGAUGCCACCUCAUCAA